AUUGAACGCUGGCGGCAUGCUUUACACAUGCAAGUCGAACGGCAGCGCGGGCUUCGGCCUGGCGGCGAGUGGCGAACGGGUGAGUAAUGCAUCGGAACGUGCCCAGUAGUGGGGGAUAGCCCGGCGAAAGCCGGAUUAAUACCGCAUACGACCUGAGGGUGAAAGCGGGGGACCGAAAGGCCUCGCGCUAUUGGAGCGGCCGAUGUCGGAUUAGCUAGUUAGUGGGGUAAAGGCUUACCAAGGCGACGAUCCGUAGCUGGUCUGAGAGGACGACCAGCCACACUGGGACUGAGACACGGCCCAGACUCCUACGGGAGGCAGCAGUGGGGAAUUUUGGGCAAUGGGGGCAACCCUGAUCCAGCCAUGCCGCGUGCGAGAAGAAGGCCUUCGGGUUGUAAACCGCUUUUGUUCGGGAAGAAAUCCUCUGGGCUAAUACCCCGGGGGGAUGACGGUACCGGAAGAAUAAGCACCGGCUAACUACGUG
rnacentral:rRNA from 1 species